rnacentral:rRNA from 1 species
GACGAACGCUGGCGGCGUGCUUAACACAUGCAAGUCGAACGAAGAGCGCUUGAAGCUUGCUUCUACCCAUCUUAGUGGCGAACGGGUGAGUAACGCGUAAUCAACCUGCCCUUCAGGGGGGGACUACAGUUGCAAACGACUGCUAAUACUGCAUACUCUCUCAUCUCGGCAUCGAGGAUAGAUGAACGGUGGCCUCUACAUGUAAGCUAUCACUUCAGGAUGGGAUUGGGGCAGUUUAGUUAGUUGGCGUGGUUGAGGCCCAGCAAGGCGAUGAUGAGUAGCAGGACGGCGAUGAUGAGCGGCCGCAUUGGGACGGAGACAGGGCCCAGAGUGCUACGGGAGGGAGCAGUACGGAAUCGUGCGGAAUGGACGAGAGUCUGACGGCGCAGCGCCGCGGGAGGGAUGAGGACCGCCGCGUGGUAGAGCUCGGUUAUCCGGGACGAAAGGCCUUCUUGCGAAGAGUAAGAAGGAUUGACGGUACCGGAAUAGAAAGCCACGGCUAACUACGUG